GUCUGCCCCUGUUGGAAUUCAGAUAGAAUGCAGGUUUAAGGAGUCUCAACCUGCUGGAAUUUAGACAGAAUGCAGGUUGAAGGAGUCUCCCCCUGCAGGAAUU